UUGCUUAGUCUCUAGUUUUCUAUGUUGUGUCUUUUGUACUAUAAUUGUUUGUCUGUUUGUAAUUUAUUUUUUUUUUUUGGCCAUGGCGUUGUCAGUUUCUUUUCAAUCUAUGAGUUUGACUUUCCCUCUGGUAUCUUUCUUCCCUCUUCUAAGCGUUUACAAGGCAAAAUAAAUUAAAUAAUUAUAUUCAAUUUACCUAUCAGUAUUUGCUAACAUGUUAAAAGUAUUGUAAACGAAGCUGUAGUAGUCGUAAAAGUAUAUAUAUGAUGAAAAGCGCCUUCAAAAUUGGUUGUAUUGAAAUACAUUUCAGGGACCUACCUCUUCAAAUAUAUUUUCCUGAUACAAAAU
rnacentral:lncRNA from 1 species